GGAUUGUGGCUCAGCGGUACAGCGCUUGCCUAGCACGAGUGGUACUCGGGUUCGAUUCUCAGCACCA
rnacentral:tRNA from 1 species